rnacentral:rRNA from 1 species
GACGAACGCUGGCGGCGUGCCUAACACAUGCAAGUCGAACGAAGAAUGUUUUUCGGAAUAUUCUUAGUGGCGGACGGGUGAGUAACGCGUGAACAAUCUGCCCCGUACAAAGGGAUAGCCUCGGGAAACCGGGAUUAAAACCAUAUAACGCUUUAGUACCGCAUGGUAAUAAAGUCAAAUCGAUUAAGAGGUAUGGGAUGAGUUCGCGUCUGAUUAGCUAGUUGGUGAGGUAAGGGCUCACCAAGGCGACGAUCAGUAGCCGGCCUGAGAGGGUGAACGGCCACACUGGAACUGAGACACGGUCCAGACUCCUACGGGAGGCAGCAGUGGGGAAUAUUGCACAAUGGAGGGAACUCUGAUGCAGCGACGCCGCGUGAGUGAAGAAGGUCUUCGGAUCGUAAAACUCUGUCCUUGGUGAAGAAAAGGACGGUAGCCAAGGAGGAAGCCCCGGCUAACUACGUAG